rnacentral:tRNA from 1 species
GCUGGCGUAGCUCAAUUGGCAGAGCAACUGACUUGUAAUCAGUAGGUUGGGGGUUCAACUCCUCUCGCCAGCUCCA